AUUGAACGCUGGCGGCAUGCUUUACACAUGCAAGUCGAGCGGCAGCGCGGGGGCAACCCUGGCGGCGAGCGGCGAACGGGUGAGUAAUGCAUCGGAACGUAUCCUGUAGUGGGGAAUAACUCACCGAAAGGUGAGCUAAUACCGCAUAAGCUCUGAGGAGGAAAGCGGGGGACCGAAAGGCCUCGCGCUGCAGGAGCGGCCGAUGUCCGAUUAGCUAGUUGGUGAGGUAAAGGCUCACCAAGGCGACGAUCGGUAGCUGGUCUGAGAGGAUGAUCAGCCACACUGGGACUGAGACACGGCCCAGACUCCUACGGGAGGCAGCAGUGGGGAAUUUUGGACAAUGGGGGAAACCCUGAUCCAGCCAUGCCGCGUGAGUGAAGAAGGCCUCGG
rnacentral:rRNA from 1 species